UACGGAGGAUCCAAGCGUUAUCCGGAUUCAUUGGGUUUAAAGGGUGCGUAGGCGGAAUGAUAAGUCAGCGGUGAAAUCCCUCGGCUUAACCGAGGAACUGCCGUUGAUACUGUCAAUCUUGAGUACAUUUGAUGUGGGCGGAAUGUGUCAUGUAGCGGUGAAAUGCUUAGAUAUGACACAGAACACCGAUUGCGAAGGCAGCUCACAAAACUGUAACUGACGCUGAGGCACGAAAGCGUGGGUAUCAAAACAGG
rnacentral:rRNA from 1 species